rnacentral:rRNA from 1 species
GUAGGGAGCAAGCGUUGUCCGGAAUUACUGGGUGUAAAGGGAGCGUAGGCGGGAUGGCAAGUAGAAUGUUAAAUCCAUCGGCUCAACCGGUGGCUGCGUUCUAAACUGCCGUUCUUGAGUGAAGUAGAGGCAGGCGGAAUUCCUAGUGUAGCGGUGAAAUGCGUAGAUAUUAGGAGGAACACCAGUGGCGAAGGCGGCCUGCUGGGCUUUAACUGACGCUGAGGCUCGAAAGCGUGGGGAGCAAA